UGCACUCCCUGCGCCAGCGGCACUGGUACAUUCAGAGCACUUGUGCGACGUCUGGGGAAGGGUUGUACGAGGGACUUGACUGGCUCUCCAACAACAUUGCCAACAAGGCUUGAAGCGCCUCGACAAGUGCUUCAUCAAGAAACAAACGUGCUGGAUGUCUCAACAACUCACUGCUACCAUUUUACAUAUUGUGAUAUAUAUACACUGUACAAGAGAUAGUAUGUGUGCGUAUGUGACAGGCAGAAGCUCCCUUCUUUAAGUGAGCUAGUAUCAGGUCAGGUUGUCUUUUUUUGUAUGGAUAUUAUCAGUUGCUGUUCGGUGGUUUUACAAGGUUUAAUGUGUCGACGAUGUGUGUCUGAACCCCUAUCUUUUCGAGUUUUGUUAAGAUUGAAUUGUGGUUGCCAA